rnacentral:rRNA from 1 species
AUGCUUUUCCUAAAGAUUAAGCCAUGCAUGUCUAAGACUAUGGAGGAUACUAUUCUCUCUCUGAAUCUGCGAACGGCUCCGUAAACCAGUUGUAAACCACAGCAAGCCUGCGACGGUCGGACUCCGGUCUGGCCUGAGCGAUACGGAUAACCCUGGUAAUUCUAAGGCUAAUACGUGUAUGUAACACCCGGUGGACCGGCUUCGGCUGGGAAAUCGGGAGACGAGUGAUGGAAUGUUUGGAUUACCAGGAACGGGCA